rnacentral:rRNA from 1 species
GAUGAACGCUGGCGGCGUGCUUAACACAUGCAAGUCGAGCGAGAGAGUUCUUCGGAACAAUCUAGCGGCGGACGGGUGAGUAACACGUGGGCAACCUACCUCAUAGAGGGGAAUAACCUUCCGAAAGGAAGAUUAAUACCGCAUAACAUCGUUGAAGGGCAUCCUUCGAUGAUCAAAGGAGCAAUCCGCUAUGAGAUGGGCCCGCGGCGCAUUAGCUAGUUGGUGAGGUAACGGCUCACCAAGGCGACGAUGCGUAGCCGACCUGAGAGGGUGAUCGGCCACAUUGGGACUGAGACACGGCCCAGACUCCUACGGGAGGCAGCAGUGGGGAAUAUUGCACAAUGGGGGAAACCCUGAUGCAGCAACGCCGCGUGAGUGAUGACGGCCUUCGGGUUGUAAAGCUCUGUCUUUGGGGACGAUAAUGACGGCACCCAAGGAGGAAGUCACGGCUAACUACGUGCCAGCCGCCGCGGUAA